rnacentral:rRNA from 1 species
UGGCGGCACGCCUAACACAUGCAAGUCGAACGAAGUAGCAAUACUUAGUGGCAGACGGGUGAGUAACAUGUAGGUAUCUGCCCUUUGGCCUGGAAUAACACGAGGAAACUUGUGCUAAUACCGGAUAAGUCUUUACGGAGAAAGCUUUAUGCACCAUUGGAUGAGCCUGCACUUGAUUAGUUUGUUGGUGGGGUAAUGGCCUACCAAGACUGUGAUCAAUAGCUGAUUUGAGAGGAUGAUCAGCCACAUUGGGACUGAGACACGGCCCAAACUCCUACGGGAGGCAGCAGUGGGGAAUCUUGCACAAUGGAGGAAACUCUGAUGCAGCGAUGCCGCGUGAGUGAAGAAGGCCCUUGGGUUGUAAAGCUCUUUCGUCGGGGAAGAAAAUGACUGUACCCGAAUAAGAAGGUCCGGCUAACUUCGUGCCAGCAGCCGCGGUAAUACGAAGGGACCUAGCGUAGUUCGGAAUUACUGGGCUUAAAGAGUUCGUAGGUGGUUGAAAUAGUUGGUGGUGAAAUCCCAGAGCUUAACUCUGGAACUGCCAUCAAAACUUUUCAGCUAGAGUAUGAUAGAGGAAAGCAGAAUUUCUAGUGUAGAGGUGAAAUUCGUAGAUAUUAGAAAGAAUACCAAUUGCGAAGGCAGCUUUCUGGAUCAUUACUGACACUGAGGAACGAAAGCAUGGGUAGCGAAGAGGAUUAGAUACCCUCGUAGUCCAUGCCGUAAACGAUGUGUGUUAGACGUUGGAAAUUUAUUUUCAGUGUCGCAGGGAAACCGAUAAACACACCGCCUGGGGAGUACGACCGCAAGGUUAAAACUCAAAUGAAUUGACGGGGACCCGCACAAGUAGUGGAGCAUGUGGUUUAAUUCGAAGAUACGCGCAGAACCUUACCAACACUUGACAUGUUCGUCGCGACUCUAAGAGAUUAGAGUUUUCGGUUCGGCCGGACGAAACACAGGUGCUGCAUGGCUGUCGUCAGCUCGUGUCGUGAGAUGUUGGGUUAAGUCCCGCAACGAGCGCAACCCUCACUUUUAGUUGCCAUCAUUAAGUUGGGCACUCUGAAAGAACUGCCAGUGAUAAGCUGGAGGAAGGUGGGGAUGACGUCAAGUCCUCAUGGCCCUUACGUGUUGGGCUACACACGUGCUACAAUGGUAUCUACAACAGGAAGCAAGACUGCGAAGUUAAGCAAAUCCCUAAAAGAUACCUCAGUUCGGAUUGCACUCUGCAACUCGAGUGCAUGAAGCUGGAAUUACUAGUAAUCGUGGAUCAGCGUGCCACGGUGAAUGCGUUCCCGGGUCUUGUACACACCGCCCGUCACACCAUGGGAGUUGGUUCUACCUUAAGGCAAGGUUUCAAACCCUUGACCACGGUAUAGUCAGCGA